ACUUGCCAAAACUAUAGUUUGUUAACAAGAAAUUUGUAGAGUGGUUAAAAAACGAGUUUUAAUGACUCCAACCUAAGUGUAUGUAAACUUCCGACUUCAACUGUACAUGCAGGCUGGCAGAAUCAUAUUACUAUGUGUUCCGGCUAAUGGUACCCGGGCCGAGUCCACUUAAGUUUAUCCGGCCCGAUUAACUUUUACAGGAGUAAGGCCAUUUGAGGUUUUCAUUCGGCAAAAAAGAAAUGUGAUCUAUUUCACCCCCAAGUCAUGGAAUUUGCUUGGUCAUUAAAAGUUCAAAUUGGCGAUAGCUGGGAUCGCAGAGACUAUCUGAGAUGGUCCCUAAUUUAGAGAAUCUCCGAUGCUAUAAAUGCUUUUGGUUUUAAUACAGGCUAUGGCAGUGUUUUUCGUAGUUACAGUCCACCAAAUUGAAAAGUGUAUAUGCACUUCCAUAAUAUUUGUUCUAGGCAAUAAACAUACAGGAUACCCAUACAAAAAUGCACUGCCGUUAAAAUGCAGUAAAAUGGCAGUACCGUGAAAUAAUGGUUGUUUAAUUAAUGAUAUCUGUUAGCUUGUUGUGUGUGUUGGCUUCUAAUGGUAAUUUUUCAUUUGUGUUAGCUAAUUGCACUCUUUAUUGUGCUGCACAUUUUCUUCUGUUCCACUGAAUUAUGUUUGGAAGUUUUAUGACUAACUAUUUGUUUAUUUAAGAAAUAACACGUAAGCAUGUUUUUUUAUUUCAAUAUUUCAUUUAUUUCAUGCUACAAUCCACUAGGAUUUUCAAAACCCUAUUUUUAUCACAUUUAUUUCCAUACAUAAUUUGUCAAAAUGUAUUGCACCUGAAUUUGACCCUGAAAACUAUUAUAUUUUCCCUUAGCUUUAAAGCAAUUAACAGAAUCCGUGCAGUCAUUUAAUUUUAAUUUCUGUAGCUAAAUAAGGAGGUAGGCAUAUCAGUUCUAGCUAAAAAUAGAUCUCUGCGUGCAGCCUGCUUGCUCGAGCACAUUGGUCAACAGCAACAGUUUUUCAAAAUGUACACAAAAAACUUAUAAAAGUGGUAGUCCCUGUUCUCCUGAAUUCUUGUUUUACUUUUGUAAGUUUGUUGGGGAGACUAAAGUCAAGGUAAGAUUUGCUAGCUAACUAACUAAUUUUGCUGGCUAAUUUUAGCGAGCUAAUGUUAGCUCUCUGGCUAAUCCACUAUGGACAUUGUACAUUUUCAUUUCUACCUGUUGUAGCUAGCUAGCUAACAUUUUAAUAUCUGUUUAGUUAAUGAUUGUAAAGGGGUGUGUGUGUGUAUUCUCUGCAUGUGUGUGAGGGAGAUGAUCACAAUAUCUUUAGAAAACAUUCAUGUCAACGUAGUCAUGCUAGCAAUGUGUGUGUUCAGUGUGAGAGAUGAUUAGGUUCACAAUCUAUAGAAAAUAUUAUGUCAACAUUGUGUCAUGCUAGCUGUGUGUGUGUGUGUGUGAGAGAGAGAGAUUGUACAUUAAUAAACAUAGGAAACAUUGAUUGUGUGUGAGACAGUAAGGUAGCAUACUGUAAAAUAAAUUAAAUGUGUACCUCCCCACACACUGGUUGUGAAGAUUUUCUUGAUUCAUCCGAGAUCCUUGAAUUUUGUAUUUGACAAUAGGAUACAUUUUGCCUAUCCCUGCUCCCCCUCAACACUCAUUCUAACGUUACACCUCUCAACUGCCUUUUUCAAUUCUUUCUCUUUCUUUGCAGGAAUCUUCUAGCUUGGAUGGAGGAAACAAAGGGAAGAGUACAGAAUUUAUCCAGCCUGCUGACUAAGAAAUGUAAAUGGCCUGUUUUACUUUCUGUAUCUAUAUCUCUUCAUCUGCCUGCCUCACUGCCAGGUUGCUGAGGGGCAACAUAGUCAAUGUACUUGCUAGGCUAAGUCUAACUUAGUGAAGACCUUAGGUAAUGGUUAAUCACGAUUCGUCUGUCUUAACAGUUCCUGAAACAUGUCAAUGACCUGAUGCAUGGCCUCUACAGCAGUGCUUCGCCACACACUCAGUUACCAGUGACCUAUUUUGGCACAUCCCAGUGAAAGGAGAGAGCAGAAGCACCCUUCCUUAAAUCCAUAGUCAUUGCCAGCAUGACUCUUGAAGAGGGCCAUGAGGAUCUCCAGUACCCCAUAACAACACUCUUAUUAAUCAUUCAUUGCCUUUUAUAUAUUCUGUGUCCCUGUCUUUCUAUGCAUGUAGUCUGUGGGUGAAUUAUAAAACAAUUACUGUAUGCAGAUGUGCAAAAACUUGUGAUUUAGAUUUGUUUUUCAUUUAAAAUUUGUUUUCCAAAUUAAAUGUAAGAAUAUGUUGCAGAUUAA